rnacentral:rRNA from 1 species
AGAGUUUGAUCCUGGCUCAGGACGAACGCNNGGCGGCGUGCUUAACACAUGCAAGUCGAACGGAAAGGCCUCUUCGGAGGUACUCGAGUGGCGAACGGGUGAGUAACACGUGGGCAAUCUGCCCUGCACUUCGGGAUAAGCCUGGGAAACUGGGUCUAAUACCGGAUAGGACCACGAGACGCAUGUCUUGUGGUGGAAAGCUUUUGCGGUGUGGGAUGGGCCCGCGGCCUAUCAGCUUGUUGGUGGGGUGACGGCCUACCAAGGCGACGACGGGUAGCCGGCCUGAGAGGGUGUCCGGCCACACUGGGACUGAGAUACGGCCCAGACUCCUACGGGAGGCAGCAGUGGGGAAUAUUGCACAAUGGGCGCAAGCCUGAUGCAGCGACGCCGCGUGGGGGAUGACGGCCUUCGGGUUGUAAACCUCUUUCACCAUCGACGAAGGUUCGGGUUUUCUCGGAUUGACGGUAGGUGGAGAAGAAGCACCGGCCAACUACGUGCCAGCAGCCGCGGUAAUACGUAGGGUGCGAGCGUUGUCCGGAAUUACUGGGCGUAAAGAGCUCGUAGGUGGUUUGUCGCGUUGUUCGUGAAAUCUCACGGCUUAACUGUGAGCGUGCGGGCGAUACGGGCAGACUAGAGUACUGCAGGGGAGACUGGAAUUCCUGGUGUAGCGGGAAUGCGCAGAUAUCAGGAGGAACACCGGUGGCGAAGGCGGGUCUCUGGGCAGUAACUGACGCUGAGGAGCGAAAGCGUGGGGAGCGAACAGGAUUAGAUACCCUAGUAGUCC